rnacentral:rRNA from 1 species
UACAGGGGGGCAAGCGUUGUUCGGAAUUCCUGGGCGUAAAGGGCUCGUAGGCGGCCCACUAAGUCACACGUGAAAUCCCCAGGCUUAACCUGGGAACUGCGUGUGAUACUGGAUGGCUUGAAUUCGGGAGAGGGAUGCAGAAUUCCAGGUGUAGCGGUGAAAUGCGUAGAUAUCGGGAGGAACACCUGUGGCGAAGGCGACCCCCUGGUUGGAUACUGACGCUGAGACGCGAAAGCGUGGGGAGCAAACAGG